rnacentral:rRNA from 1 species
UACGUAGCAGCAAGCGUUGUUCGGAAUUACUGGGCGUAAAGAGUGUGUAGGCGGUGCUCUAAGUUCGGUGUGAAAUCUCCCGGCUCAACUGGGAGGUGCGCCGGAAACUGGAGUGCUGGAGCGCGGGAGAGGAAAGCGGAAUUCCUGGUGUAGCGGUGAAAUGCGUAGAUAUCAGGAGGAACACCCGGCGGUGUAGACGGCUUUCUGGACCGUAGCUGACGCUGAGAACACGAAAGCG